rfam:Firmicutes bacterium CAG:555 genomic scaffold, scf140
AGUUGAAAAGUCAAUACUUUCGAUAUAUAGCAAAUGAUAUGGAUUUGAAGUCUCUACCCGGACGCCGUAAAUGACCGGACUAUCGAAGUUUUACAUAAAAGG